UCCUGGGGACUCGGACAGAUGAAGAAAAGGAAUGGGGGAAGGAGACAGAGGCCAAGAAGAUCUUCAGCAUCUCCGUCCACCUGAGCUGGAGCAGAAGUGCAUACAGCUGGUGUGGGAGGGAGUGGCCAACACCGCAGAGGAUGUUCCCUAAUGACCCUCGCUGCCUGCUGUGAGGGAACAGGCCCAAGCUUGCUGAAGGGCUGGUGUGAGCUGCUCUGAGAUGCUAACGGCCAUGUCACCUCAGAGGACAGCAGUCCACAACACUUCUGAUCCUCCUGCCCCAGCCUGCUGAGCGGCUCAGAUUACAGGCCCCGGGAGGCAGCGUCUGGUUAAGUAACAAGGCAAAACCACUCGCUGGUUUUAGAUUGGAAUCUUCAGCACGGACCAUGAUCUCCACAGUCAUGGCCUUCCCUCAGGCAAACCUGCACACCCAGGAAUACCCCGUGGGCCAGCCCACCAUCCAUCAGCCUCUAGAGAGGGGGCCUUUCCCAGUCAGCAGUUUGAGAAACAGAAUAGACGGAUUUCUGAAGCAACUGAGAUACCCAGCACCGUCCGGAUUCUGGAAAGAGUGGAGUUCAGCUGGGCCUGGUGGAGCAUGCUUGUCACCCCAGCUCCUGGAGAAGUCGAGGCAGGAGGAUGGAAAGUUCAAGGUCUGCCUGGACUAGAGUCACUGCCUGAUCAAAAGUUUCUCAAAGGAAAAGAGAGAUACCUGGUUAGAAGCCAGCCACCCCGCAGGGCGGGGAAGGGGUGGAAGUGGGGGGCAACCCAGAGCCGCUAAGAGAGACUGGACCACGACCGAAGGUGGAUUGCCCGACCCUGACUCUACCU